rnacentral:ncRNA from 2 species
CUGAGAGAAGGUGAUGGACCCCGCCUGGGUGGUGACAGCCCUAACUGCAUUUUGCUGAUGGUUCCUACGACGUU